rnacentral:snRNA from 1 species
AUACAUACUUGGAAAGGGGGAUACCAUGAUCAGGAAGGUGGUUUUCCAAGGCAAGCCUUCUCUAUUGCACUCCAGAUUUAUGGACCCUUGCAAUUUUUCCAAAUGUGGGAAACUCACUGCAUAAUUUGUGGUAGUGGGGGACUGUAUUUGCACUCUCCCCUG